GUUACUGAGACAUUACAAACGAAAAUAUGUUCAUUGCAUAAUGAUUUUUGAGAAAUCAUUAUAAAAUGUUUGGAAUAAUCACAUUACCAAUAUAAUUUGUGAAUAUAUUUAAACUCACAGAUAGCCUCGAUGAAAAAAAAAAGAAUGGUUAAUAAUUGACCCCUUGUGUGAUGAGAUGAGAUAUGAAAGAACAUGCCUGAGGAAUUGGAGAAACUUCAUCAAACGAUUAACUAGAAAAUCCUCAUCUGAUUGGAACAGUAAAAUUGUUCAUCAUCCCAGACAAAGUGAUGGCUACAACUGCGGACCACUCAUCUUAAAG